AGUGAACACUGGCGGUAGACCUAACACAUGCAAGUCGAACGGCAGCACAGUAAGAGCUUGCUCUUACGGGUGGCGAGUGGCGGACGGGUGAGGAAUACAUCGGAAUCUACUUUUUCGUGGGGGAUAACGUAGGGAAACUUACGCUAAUACCGCAUACGACCUACGGGUGAAAGCAGGGGAUCUUCGGACCUUGCGCGAUUGAAUGAGCCGAUGUCGGAUUAGCUAGUUGGCGGGGUAAAGGCCCACCAAGGCGACGAUCCGUAGCUGGUCUGAGAGGAUGAUCAGCCACACUGGAACUGAGACACGGUCCAGACUCCUACGGGAGGCAGCAGUGGGGAAUAUUGGACAAUGGGCGCAAGCCUGAUCCAGCCAUACCGCGUGGGUGAAGAAGGCCUUCGGGUUGUAAAGCCCUUUUGUUGGGAAAGAAAAGCAGCAGGUUAAUACCCCGCUGUUCUGACGGUACCCAAAGAAUAAGCACCGGCUAACUUCGUG
rnacentral:rRNA from 1 species